rnacentral:rRNA from 1 species
CAGUAGCCGCGGGAACACAGAGGGUGCGAGCGUUAAUCGGAUUUACUGGGCGUAAAGCGUGCGUAGGCGGCUUUUUAAGUCGGAUGUGAAAUCCCUGAGCUUAACUUAGGAAUUGCAUUCGAUACUGGGAAGCUAGAGUAUGGGAGAGGAUGGUAGAAUUCCAGGUGUAGCGGUGAAAUGCGUAGAGAUCUGGAGGAAUACCGAUGGCGAAGGCAGCCAUCUGGCCUAAUACUGACGCUGAGGUACGAAAGCAUGGGGAGCAAACAGGAUUAGAUACCCCCGUAGUCCCUGUCUCUUAUAA